rnacentral:rRNA from 1 species
UACGGAGGGUGCAAGCGUUGUUCGGAAUCAUUGGGCGUAAAGCGCGUGUAGGCGGCUUGGAAAGUCGGGUGUGAAAGCCCGGGGCUCAACCCCGGAAAUGCACUCGAAACUGCCUCGCUAGAGUCCCGGAGAGGAGAGUGGAAUUCCCGGUGUAGAGGUGAAAUUCGUAGAUAUCGGGAGGAACACCAGUGGCGAAGGCGACUCUCUGGACGGUGACUGACGCUGAGACGCGAAAGCGUGGGGAGCAAACAGGAUUAGAUACCCCCGUA